UCAGAUACCGGGUCCUUUAAUGCAAACGUUCCGUCAUAUGCUACAAUCCGGGCACUAGUGUUCUGUUUAUGCUUCCUGUUCCGGAUGAUUCAGAAUCAGCCAGGAACAUCGAAAGCUAUAUUAUAAAAGAAAGCGCCGUUGAUACCCAUAUAGCAACUGUUGUAAGCAAUAUCCACAAGUUUUCCCGUAUUUCGAUCUCAUUUGUUUUAGCCAUUUAGCAAAGCGCGUAGUAACGCGGCUUUUCCCAGUAUGGCCAGCUCGUGCAACUUUGUCUUGUUGUGCGGCAUUUUCGCACUGGCCUGCAUCACAUCGGCGGCCGCGUGUUGCGAUAGAGCUACGUUGGUAGGUUGCUGUGGUAAGGGCAAGUGCAACAUUUUUUGCUGCAACUGCAAAGGCGGGUGCAAGCCAAAGAGUGAAUGCAGUGCUAGAAAUCCAUUGGAACACAUACCUGCCGCGUUAACUAGCCGAGGAAAACGGGAGAGCGACCGCAACAGCACCGCACUGCACAAAUUCAUCACCAUUGACAUCAAUGGCGAUGACAAGCUGGAUCUGGAUGAGUGCAGAGCUUUUCUGAAAUUGUCCGAUAAGACUCUAACUCGAUAUCCACGGGGAACCGCAGAAGUGGAAAUCCCAGAGUGGUACAGGGAAAUCGAUGUUGACGGAGAUGGCUUUAUCUUACCACACGAGUUUGACCAUACCUUAAUCUAAUGCUGCUUCUGUACUCUGUAUUUCUACUUAGAUACCUGUACAAACUGCUUUGUUUUUCAUAUGGUUGAUGCUCUAUUUUAUGACACUGGGAUAUUACUGGUUAUUUAGCGUUCAGUCAAUUGUAAUUAUUCUCGUGAUACUGCAUGCAUAACCUUGAUCUGACUAAUAAGUCAUACGUUGCCGGAGGUAAAAGAUGACUGCAAAUG